rnacentral:rRNA from 1 species
AAAUUGAAGAGUUUGAUCAUGGCUCAGAUUGAACGCUGGCGGCAGGCCUAACACAUGCAAGUCGAGCGGUAGCACAGAGAGCUUGCUCUCGGGUGACGAGCGGCGGACGGGUGAGUAAUGUCUGGGAAACUGCCUGAUGGAGGGGGAUAACUACUGGAAACGGUAGCUAAUACCGCAUAAUGUCGCAAGACCAAAGUGGGGGACCUUCGGGCCUCAUGCCAUCAGAUGUGCCCAGAUGGGAUUAGCUAGUAGGUGGGGUAACGGCUCACCUAGGCGACGAUCCCUAGCUGGUCUGAGAGGAUGACCAGCCACACUGGAACUGAGACACGGUCCAGACUCCUACGGGAGGCAGCAGUGGGGAAUAUUGCACAAUGGGCGCAAGCCUGAUGCAGCCAUGCCGCGUGUGUGAAGAAGGCCUUCGGGUUGUAAAGCACUUUCAGCGGGGAGGAAGGCGGUGAGGUUAAUAACCUCAUCGAUUGACGUUACCCGCAGAAGAAGCACCGGCUAACUCCGUGCCAGCAGCCGCGGUAAUACGGAGGGUGCAAGCGUUAAUCGGAAUUACUGGGCGUAAAGCGCACGCAGGCGGUCUGUCAAGUCGGAUGUGAAAUCCCCGGGCUCAACCUGGGAACUGCAUUCGAAACUGGCAGGCUAGAGUCUUGUAGAGGGGGGUAGAAUUCCAGGUGUAGCGGUGAAAUGCGUAGAGAUCUGGAGGAAUACCGGUGGCGAAGGCGGCCCCCUGGACAAAGACUGACGCUCAGGUGCGAAAGCGUGGGGAGCAAACAGGAUUAGAUACCCUGGUAGUCCACGCCGUAAACGAUGUCGAUUUGGAGGUUGUGCCCUUGAGGCGUGGCUUCCGGAGCUAACGCGUUAAAUCGACCGCCUGGGGAGUACGGCCGCAAGGUUAAAACUCAAAUGAAUUGACGGGGGCCCGCACAAGCGGUGGAGCAUGUGGUUUAAUUCGAUGCAACGCGAAGAACCUUACCUGGUCUUGACAUCCACAGAACUUUCCAGAGAUGGAUUGGUGCCUUCGGGAACUGUGAGACAGGUGCUGCAUGGCUGUCGUCAGCUCGUGUUGUGAAAUGUUGGGUUAAGUCCCGCAACGAGCGCAACCCUUAUCCUUUGUUGCCAGCGGUUCGGCCGGGAACUCAAAGGAGACUGCCAGUGAUAAACUGGAGGAAGGUGGGGAUGACGUCAAGUCAUCAUGGCCCUUACGACCAGGGCUACACACGUGCUACAAUGGCAUAUACAAAGAGAAGCGACCUCGCGAGAGCAAGCGGACCUCAUAAAGUAUGUCGUAGUCCGGAUUGAGUCUGCAACUCGACUCCAUGAAGUCGGAAUCGCUAGUAAUCGUAGAUCAGAAUGCUACGGUGAAUACGUUCCCGGGCCUUGUACACACCGCCCGUCACACCAUGGGAGUGGGUUGCAAAAGAAGUAGGUAGCUUAACCUUCGGGAGGGCGCUUACCACUUUGUGAUUCAUGACUGGGGUGAAGUCGUAACAAGGUAACCGUAGGGAACCUGCGGUUGGAUCACCUCCUUACCUUAAAGAA